rnacentral:tRNA from 1 species
GGGGCGGUCGUCUAGCCUGGUAGGAUGGCACCUUCGGGAGGUGUCGACGAGAGUUCAAAUCUCUCCCGCCCCA